GUUUCGUCUUCUCCCUCAACUCUCUCUCGCUCUCUUCUCAACAGAACUCCCACUACUGCAUCUUCUCGGCCGUAAUUCCAACAAUUAAUGGCGGAAAAUAACAAUUGAAUCGAUUGUUUUCUCUUCCUCAACAGGUUGGUUGCUGUUGAAUAGGGUGAAUCCAGAACAUCAUAUAUGGAUACACCCAAUAGUCAUUAUGCCGCUCGAAGAACUAGGAUGAAUGAAGAACAACGAGCUAUUGAGAACGAAAGGCGUCGUGUUCGUGACGGACAACAUUGAGAAAACAUAACAGCUGAGGAGAGGUUGCUACGAAAUGAGCGCAGGCGAAAUCAAAGAGCGAGGCAGCAAAAUACUGAAUUCGAAACAACAGAUGUGCAUAUAUCCCAAAGCCGUUUUGCAACUCGAAGAAACUGGAUGACCGAAAAAGAACGCGCUGCUGAAAUAGAAAGGCUUCCUGUUUGUGAGAGACAACAUCAAGAAAACUUGAUGGCUGAGGAGAGGAUUUGGCAAGGAAAUCUUGGCUCAUAAACGUAUAUAUUGGAUUUCAACUGUCUCGCUUGCCUGGAAAAGGAUGGUACUGCCUGAAAUAUUUUAUGUUGUUCGGAGGAACAUGGUGACCUGUGAUCGACGAGCUAAUGAAAGAGAAGUUAACUUGAUUUUCCCACCUGAUUUGCAACAUAUUGUGUAGUGCCAAAAAUGAAAUGUAAGAGAGAAAAAACUAGCGUUUGCCGACGUGCAACGCACGUGCACUCUACUUGCGUAUUUUAAUAUUGUUUUCAUCUUUGAUGUACUUGAACACGAUGUAUUCGUUCUUGUUAUGUUAAUGAAAUCAUUGUUAUGUUAA